GCACGUAGAUACACGAGAGUCUACAUGCACGUAGAUGCACCUUUAACUGCAUCACUCAGAAAGGUGGGCUUGGGUGAGCAAUUAGUCACAAUACAUGUCAUAUUUUAUUUUAUUUGAUAGACAAAAAUAGUUUUGGUUUUACAAUUCAAACAAGGAAAUACACUGAGAAGAGAACAUCUGGGAAAAGAUCGAGCCAUUUGAUACGGAGAAAAACCACAAGCAGAGAAACACGUUCAACACCUCACUGUUACUUCAAGAGCUUUGGCAGUCAGAACAGGCAAGCGCUUCUCAAAAUCACCACUAACAGGAACAACUUGAUAUAUUAUCACUCAAAAAAAAUGUCUUUACAGAAACAAAAAAAGAAAAGAAAUUGGCAUCACCCUUUAAACAGAGCAUUUUAAUAUCUAGCCAUAAAACAACACAGUUUUAUACCACAAUGGAUAUCCAUCAUUUGAAUAAUAAAUGAAGCUUGCAGGACAGUAAAGCUUUAAAAGGUUUGCUUUGGAGAAGAUACUUUAAACCUGCGGAGUGAAAGUCUCCAAAUAAACAUAAUAGAAUAAACAUUCUUUCUGUGCUUCGACUGAAGGGCUGUUGUGCUCUUUUCAAAUACAACCAUCAACUGAAAAUAACUUCUGAUUCAGAUAAUGCAAAAUAUAUUUUGUAUUCUGCUAAUGACAACUUGAUGAAAUCACUAAAAUUACAAAAAUGCUUGAAGAUAUUUCGUUGCGUUUUAGCACGAAGGAAUGCAUCGACCAGCCGGAAACAGGAUGACGCAGAUGAUCAGGAGAGCACGGUGGAGGAGCCUCGUCGUAGCUGCUGGUGAAUGUGCGAAGCUUUGUGACCUCAGAGACCCGGCUGACCCGCCGAGGCUUUCUUUGUAAAAAUCUGAGCUCGAGCGGUACAUUGUCAGGAAGCACCUGCACUUCCUCUUCCUCUUCUUCAUCUGGCUAUCAUUGGCUGGCUUCGACCGUGCACAAAAGCGACAGCAAGCACAGUGUGUGUGUGUGUGUGUGUG
rnacentral:lncRNA from 1 species